AUGCAUGUCUAAGUUCACACUGUCUCACGGUGAAACCGCGAAUGGCUCAUUAAAUCAGUCGAGGUUCCUUAGAUGACACGAUCCUACUUGGAUAACUGUGGCAAUUCUAGAGCUAAUACAUGCUUAUCAAGCUCCGACCCUCGUGGAAAGAGCGCUUUUAUUAGUUCAAAACCAACCGCGUUCGCCCUCGCGGGCUGCGCGUCCUUUUUGGUGACUCUGGAUAACUUUGUGCUGAUCGCAUGGCCUUGUGCCGGCGACGCAUCUUUCAAAUGUCUGCCCUAUCAAAUGUCGAUGGUACGUGAUAUGCCUACCAUGUUUGUAACGGGUAACGGGGAAUCAGGGUUCGAUUCCGGAGAGGGAGCAUGAGAAACGGCUACCACA
rnacentral:rRNA from 1 species